rnacentral:rRNA from 1 species
CCUACGGGCGACAGCAGUGAGGAAUAUUGGUCAAUGGACGCAAGUCUGAACCAGCGAUGCCGCGUGGGGGAAGAAGGUUUUCGGAUUGUAAAGUCCUUUUGUUAGGGAAGAUAAUGACGGUAUCUAACGAAUAAGCACCGGCUAACUCCGUGCCAGCAGCCGCGGUAAUACGGAGGGUGCAAGCGUUACUCGGAAUCACUGGGCGUAAAGAGCGCGUAGACGGCAUUGCAAGUCAGGUGUGAAAGCCUAUGGCUCAACCAUAGAACUGCAUUUGAAACUGUGAGUCUAGAGUGUGGGAGAGGUAGGUGGAAUUCCUGGUGUAGGGGUAAAAUGCGUAGAGAUCAAGAGGAACACUCAUUGCGAAGGCGACCUGCUAGAACAUAACUGACGCUGAUGCGCGAAAGCGUGGGGAGCAAACAGGAUUAGAUACCCGAGUAGUC